UCCGGCUUAUCACCGGCAGUCCCACUAGAGUGCCCAACUGAAUGAUGGCAACUAAUGGCAAGGGUUGCGCUCGUUGCGGGACUUAACCCAACAUCUCACGACACGAGCUGACGACAGCCAUGCAGCACCUGUGGUGCACCCUCGAAGGUCACACGUUUCCGUGCGCUUGCAGCACCAUGUCAAGCCCAGGUAAGGUGGGGAUGACGUGUCGUUACCUUA
rnacentral:misc_RNA from 1 species